rnacentral:rRNA from 1 species
GACGAACGCUGGCGGCGUGCCUAAUACAUGCAAGUCGAGCGAACAGAUGAGGAGUUUGUCCCUCUGAUGUUAGCGGCGGAGGGGUGAGUAACACGUGGAUAACCUACCUAAAAGCCUGGGAUAACUCCGGGAACCCGGAGCUAAUACGGGAUAAUAUGUCGCUCCGAAUGGGUCAACCGUGAAAGUCGGUUUUGCCGUCCACUAACGAUGGAUCCGCGCCGCAUUAGCUAGUUGGUAAGGUAACGGCUUACCAAGGCAACGAUGCGUAGCCGACCUGAGAGGGUGAUCGGCCACACUGGAACUGAGACACGGUCCAGACUCCUACGGGAGGCAGCAGUAGGGAAUCUUCCGCAAUGGACGAAAGCCUGACGGAGCAACGCCGCGUGAGUGAAGAAGGUCUUCGGAUCGUAAAACUCUGUUAUUAGGGAAGAACAAAUAUCUAAGUAACUGUGCACAUCUUGACGGUACCUGAUCAGAAAGCCACGGCUAACUACGUG